AGCGAACGCUGGCGGCAGGCCUAACACAUGCAAGUCGAACGAACUCUUCGGAGUUAGUGGCGGACGGGUGAGUAACACGUGGGAACGUGCCUUUAGGUUCGGAAUAACUCAGGGAAACUUGUGCUAAUACCGAAUGUGCCCUUCGGGGGAAAGAUUUAUCGCCUUUAGAGCGGCCCGCGUCUGAUUAGCUAGUUGGUGAGGUAAAGGCUCACCAAGGCGACGAUCAGUAGCUGGUCUGAGAGGAUGAUCAGCCACAUUGGGACUGAGACACGGCCCAAACUCCUACGGGAGGCAGCAGUGGGGAAUCUUGCGCAAUGGGCGAAAGCCUGACGCAGCCAUGCCGCGUGAAUGAUGAAGGUCUUAGGAUUGUAAAAUUCUUUUCACCGGGGACGAUAAUGACGGUACCCGGAGAAGAAGCCCCGGCUAACUUC
rnacentral:rRNA from 1 species